rnacentral:misc_RNA from 1 species
GAGUGGUAUAAAGGACAGGUGAGUCAUCGAAUCUUUGAACGCACAUUGCGCCCGCUAGUAUUCUGGCGGGCAUGCCUGUUCGAGCGUCAUUUCAACCAUCAAGCCCUGUCUAGGCUUGUGUUGGGGCCCUGCGGCUGCCGCAGCCCCCUAAAUGCAGUGGCGGGCUCGUUGUCACUCCGAGCGCAGUAGCGUAUCUCGCUCUGGGCGUGGCGGCGGGUGCUAGCCGUGAAACACCCACUAAGGUUGACCUCGGAUCAGGUAGGAAUACCCGCUGAACUUAAGCAUAUCAAUAAGCGGAGG